UCAGUGAGGAUUCGUGGCAUAAAGGUCUUGCGUUGCUAUGCCUCUCCCAUGACGUGGCCUGCAAGAGUUACUUUUAGCUGCUUCAUCAGCCUUCUGACACUUUAAUAUAAUCCGCACUGGGCGGCCUGCUCCCCAAGCCUCUUAACUUUUCUAGGUUGCUGCUGUGCCCAGUUGGAGCUGGACAAGGAAGGAGGAGCAAAGCUUUGCAAUCAGAGAGGUGUGGGUUCAGAUCCCUCACACUGUGUGGUGGCAAACUCCUUACUCCUGUUUCCUCGUCUGGAAAACAGACACGAUGAGCUCAUGCAGAGCUGCAGUCCACAUGGAUCAGAUUCUUUGCAUUGAGAAAUAAGCCAGCGGAGCCUGAAGGAGGACGCCUGUCCUGCCCCCAGUUCCAUUCACUGUGACACCUGCAUUUCCAGCCCUCCCUUGGCAACGAUUAUGGACACAG